GUCCUUAGUUACCUAGCACGUUAUGGUGGGCGACUCUAAGGAGGACUGCCGGUGCAACCGGAGGAAGGUGGGGAUGACGUCAAGUCAUCAUGGCCCUUACGGCCUGGGCUACACACGUGCUACAAUGGUCGGUACAAAGGGUUGCCAAGCCGCGAGGUGGAGCUAAUCCCAUAAAACCGAUCGUAGUCCGGAUCGCAGUCUGCAACUCGACUGCGUGAAGUCGGAAUCGCUAGUAAUCGUGAAUCAGAAUGUCACGGUGAAUACGUUCCCGGGCCUU
rnacentral:rRNA from 1 species